CACGCAGACAGUGUACCAGCAUACAACUCAGCCAUUUACUCUCUCUCUGGCUUUUUAUCGCUACGGAGGCACGCAUAGAAAUUUUUAAUUUUCUAUGCUGUAUUCCAAAUCCACAAACACAAAAAUCUCGGUGUGGAAGGCAGAUCAUUUAUACCCAAAGAAAUUCCUUCGUGGGAGGUUUGGUCUACUUGGAAAGGAAGC
rnacentral:lncRNA from 1 species